AUCCCAUGCAUCUAGGCUUCCUUCCCAACCCCUUUUGAAGAGAUUUUGUGAGGCUUUUGCUACUAGUUCUUAGGCAUCAAAGUGGACUUCUCUUGUUGGCUCUAUAGCAGAAAAUUGGAGAAGAAAAGUUUUUCCCAAUGAGAGAAAGAGAAGGAGAAGAAGGGUCUUCUUUCUAGUGCGCAGCCUUGGAGAAAGAGUUUAUCUCUCAGAUUUUUCUCUAUUUUUCUCUAGAAUUAAAAUUAGACUAGAUCUGAUUUUUAGCAUGAAGAUUUAGAGAAGAAAUAUUAAAAAAAAUCUGGUUGGGUGUUUGGGGCUUUCUAGAGUUCUAGAUCAAAGAGAAAAAGAGAGAAGAAUGGUUCUUCUCUUAGGUCUCCCUUUUGGGUUCUUCUAGAGCUUAAAAUUUUAUAUAAUUUUAAACAUAAAAAAUUAGAUUAAAUUUUUAUCAUGGAAAAUUAGAAAAAAAAAUUCUUUUUAAAGGUGUGAAAAGAAGAGAGAAAGGUUCUCUCUUAUGCAUUGAAGAAUUGAGAAGAAAGGGUUCUUCUCUUGAUCUCUAUUGUAGAGAUCUGAUUCGUAGAUCCAAGAAGAA
rnacentral:lncRNA from 1 species